GUUCAAGAUUCGGAUUACACUUUUGCAGUGUUGAUUGGUGGGCAAUCAUUACCCUAUGGUCAGAUACAUGACUGCAAUGGUGAUAUUUAUCGAAACCCCUGCCCAUACUUUUCAGCUGCGAUCAUCAACACUGGAGGCACUGGGUUAAUCAUCGAUCCUUCAGUAACAUGGGGUUUAAUUAGUGGUUGGAACACAGGGAUCAAAGAUUUGCAACGUUCGACGGAUGGUGCUGAGAUUUCCUUUGGUUGUUUGGGGUUCUGUGGUAUAUGUGGACCGUCAUCGGGAUAUGUUAAACUUCAAGAUUCAAAGGAGUUCAUCUCUGCUGCAGAAGCUACAGCGAUCAUCUGUCAGUGAUAAAGGCGUGUGUUUCAUUCGGAGGAUUAAGAGCAGACCUGAUGAAUCGUCUAUUUUAUUUAUCAAAAUACGUUGUCCAGGGUAUAAGUAUGUACAUUACAAGCAUGUGAGGCACUACUGAUAAUGCAAUGAUAUUACCAAUACCUGUAUCUAUAUUUUCCUGGAUUAAAUAAUAAUUAAAUGUCCCUACUGCAUCAGAACAAAAAUACCAAAAUGCUUUUUUCCUUGUUUUCCUCAAAUUCUCAU